AAAAGCACAGUCUUAUGGUAGUAGAUUGUUUGAAUAUUUUGGUCAGAAUUCCUUUGGAUUGACACAGUCUUUCAAUUAUGUGCUCAAUUAUUCAAUCAUAAUGCAUGAAGAAUGCUGUUUCUCAGUCACAAAGCAGCUCAGUGAUUUUUAAUCCAUGUAAACCAGGCUGCUGAAGAGGAGCAAUGAGCUAGACUGCUAGCAUGCACAACUGGGUAACAUAUUUUUCUACUGGAGGAUUCUUCUAUGAAAUGGGAGAAGUAAACAGGCUGAGGGAGAGGAAUGUAUCCACAAGGAAAGCCAAACCCAGCAGCUGUCCUGAAAAUCAUCUCUGGCAGUGUUCAGGCUGGGGAAGGCCACAGCCCACAGGCUCAUCUGUUGAGGCCAGGACUCUCACCACCAAGAAGACCAGAAGAACAGGACAACAAACAGGAUGCCACGGGGAUCCAUGCAGUGGCGAUAUUUUCUACUUAAUCUGUUACUCUGUUACUCUCUUUCUCUUGGUCACACCCCAUUUUUCUCUAUUUUUUUCUCUCUAUCAUCUCACAUUUACUGUUAAAUAAAAGCCAUACUAUUGCCAUUGACAAAUGGUCUCCUUUGCACCUUAAUUUGGGCAGAAGUAUUUCUCUAAUAAUUUUAAUAACUAGAUCAUAAGUCUCUUUUUUUUUAAGAAAUCUAUGCAGCAGUGGGGGAAGGUGUUGGAAAACUCUUUUGAUUUCAGUGCAAUGGUGUUUGAUCUCUAUAUCUGAUGAAUAUUCAGAAUAUUCUUGUGCCAGGAAUUGCUUCCUUAUUUACCUACAUCAGUGAUUAAUAUGCCCUAACAGAUA